AUGAAGGGAAGAGGAGCAUGGGUUAUGGUAUUGAGGCAUGGGCCAUAAGUUAUGUAAAGGAAACGGAUGAGUGUGAGAUUAAAAAACUAACCAGGGAAAGUGUGAAUAUGGAAUGGUGCCCCCCGAAUGGGCCAAAUAUUAAAAUGAACUUCGACACGGCAUUUGAUAUGUCACAGGCCAAAUCGAUUUCAGAGGUGGUGGCAAAAAAUGCUUCUAAAGAGAUUCUUGUAUCUAAAACAGUGGCUCACGAGGAGGUUGCUUCUCCGUUCGUAGUAGAGGCCCACUGUGUCUCCAAGCAGUAUUAUUGGGGAAACAGAUGGGAUAUGCAUCAAUAAUAAUAGAAGGGGAUUUGGCAUCAAUCUUAAAGAAAAGCAAUUCAGAUCUAGUGGAUAUGUCGAUGAGAGAGGCUUUGAUAAGAAACAUACAACAUCAUAAAAGGGAAGCUAUGAGAGAUGGGUUACAGACUUACCUUAUUGGAGGACUGCUUGAGCACGACGCAUCGAAGGUUGGAUCGCGAAAGGGAAGAGAACCAAAUUGAAGCUUGACUGUUGGAUGCAUCUCGAGUUGGGAAAAGAAAGAGGAAACAUAUGAUGGUUUAAUGGUUUUUGGAAAUUGUUUCCUAGGGACUUGAACCGUCGAAAUGAAUAAUGAUCAAACUACGAUUUUUUUUUAUCUAUUUUUCUGUUUUAUUUUUGUAUCUAGGUUAUUUUGUUGGUUGGCUUUGUUUAACCCGUAUGGUCAAACUAACUUUUUUGGGCUCCGUUGUAUUUUUCAUUGCUAGUUUUUAUGAAUAAAAUACGAGUAUGAUAAUUUUAAAAAAAUCUAAAUAAUUAUAGUAAAAUAUUUCAAA